AGACAGAUAAUCUGUGAAAAAUGCUAAUGGUGGAGAAACAACUUAUUGUUACAGGAAAAUAAUUUAUCUGCUGAGUAUUCACAACUGGCUAUGCUAGCUGCAGGAUAGCACACAGCUAGGGGAGGGAGCAGCCACAUGAGAUUGUGAUUGACAGCACUAAAACCCGCCUCCUGCCUCUGAUUGGUUGUUUCUAGGUAGCACUGGGAGAAGGCCGAGGAUAUCAUUUUUGGCAAGACUUUAUUUGACGGGUUGUAAAUAAGACUGUCAUGACAUUGUCAUAAACAUGAGGAAGUCUUCAUGAAUAUUUAUGACUGUUGUCAUAAAGUGUCAUUUGGCAAAUCAUGACACUUUUAAUACAAAGUUGACAUUAUUCAAAAAGUCCUUGUUAUGGCAACUUGACAUAAACCAAGAAAUCAUGAUCUGACAUACAUUUGUUAUAAAAGUAUUACCGAUUAAACUUUAAAAAUUAUGUAGCUUUAUCUGGUAAUAUUAUAUUGCUCUGCCAUGCUGUUUAAAUUUCUAAUUGAUCUGAAGUUUUACAGCAAGAUGUCUGCAAAGCACGCAUGAACUUUGCAUUUGAAACAUUUUUUCAGGCUGUUUUAAGUAGUGCAGUACACCAUCUCCACCAGUGGGAGGCAACAGUGCACCAACAGGCGUGCAGUGUGUUGGUGAAGAAGAAAUCUUCCAUCUUGUGGGGCCAAACUAACACAAGUUAUAACCGAAGUCUGACACCUAAUACAUCUGAGACCCGUUUCAGCCUAAGGACACAUGGUGGGGGGCAAAGGCGGCUAAUGAAGACGAGCUACAGGUGUGGAGGAUGAUGAUGAGGACCAGCCACCAGAGGAAGAAGCAGAUGAAAUAUUCCCAAAGAAAAUUAGUGACCUCAGUGGAUUGAGUCUUCACCCACUGUGAGAAUGUCCUGAAGAGAUUCACCAAGUUUGAAUUCACCAUGAUUAACUAUAGCAAGAACAGCUAUAAUUUCUGAGCAUUUCCUUCAAAGCUCUGCU